rnacentral:rRNA from 1 species
AGGGUUCGAUUCUGGCUCAGGAUGAACGCUGGCGGCGUGCUUAACACAUGCAAGUCGAACGGAGUUUUAACGGAAGUUUCGGAUGGAAGUUUAAGAACUUAGUGGCGGACGGGUGAGUAACGCGUGGGUAACCUGCCUCAUACAGGGGGAUAACAGUUAGAAAUGACUGCUAACACCGCAUAAUAUAGUGAAACCGCAUGAUUUUGCUAUCAAAUAUUUAUAGGUAUGAGAUGGGCCCGCGUCUGAUUAGCUAGUUGGUGGGGUAAAAGCCUACCAAGGCGACGAUCAGUAGCCGGCUUGAGAGAGUGACCGGCCACAUUGGGACUGAGACACGGCCCAAACUCCUACGGGAGGCAGCAGUGGGGAAUAUUGGACAAUGGGGGAAACCCUGAUCCAGCGACGCCCGCGUGAGUGAAGAAGUAUUUCGGUAUGUAAAGCUCUAUCAGCAGGGAAGAUAAUGACAGUACCUGACUAAGAAGCCCCGGCUAACUACGUGCCAGCAGCUGC